rnacentral:rRNA from 1 species
UACGGAGGAUGCGAGCGUUACCCGGAUUUAUUGGGUUUAAAGGGUGCGUAGGCGGGAUGCCAAGUCAGCGGUAAAAAUGCGGUGCUCAACGCCGUCGAGCCGUUGAAACUGGCGUUCUUGAGUGGAAGAGAAGUAUGCGGAAUGCGUGGUGUAGCGGUGAAAUGCAUAGAUAUCACGCAGAACCCCGAUUGCGAAGGCAGCAUGCCGGCUUCCGACUGACGCUGAAGCACGAAAGCGUGGGGAUCGAACAGG